AUGAUAGAUGUGCAGUUCUGGUCUGUCUCAGCUGAGCAAGUCGACUUGGUGGAGGAGACCGAGAUGCUUCGCACUGAGCUUCGCGACUGCCUUGCGCGUGUUGGCAGUGUUUUGGGAAGGGCAGAGGCCGCUCUUGCCAAACUAGAGGUGGUGCCUGAUGUGUCUUCGUUGCCUGAGCUUCAGAUUGGGUCUGUGCCUGAUGGGUCCCUGCUGUCCAAGAUCCAGAUUGGCUUUGUCGAUGGGGAAGCUGGCAUGUAUGGAGAUCUCUCCCCUCGUGCUACAGCCUGUCGGUUGCCGCUGCCCGUCGUGUCGAUUGCUUCUAGGAGUGAAUUCGUUAUCGAGGUCAUGGCUCCGGUGCUGCAGAUUAUGCCCGAGCUUCAGAAGCUCUGUGGGGAGCCCACUUCGCCUAUUUCGAUGGUGCUUCCUGAGGAGACGGGGUCUCUUAGAGGGGACUUGGCGAUGCCGACUGCGACUUCAUCAUCUUCGUUGGAGCCGAGUCAGGCGCUCGCCUUUGUGGACCUUGGAGGUUUGGUUGUUGCUACUGCUCUCUCACCUGAGGUUGUUGGCCUAGUGGCGUCUGUUGGUGCUGAGGUUGAUGAGGAAGGUGCUUUGGCACCUAUUUCUGAGGCGUCGAAGCCCGCCCGGUCUCUCAUCUUUGACCGUGACGCUAUGUUGGCACUUAUUGACGAGGUGGUCUUCGCGAAAAAUCUUGGCCGGUUGCUCGACGGCUUGGAUGCAGCUUGUCCUGGGUCUGCCAAGACGAUUGCUUGCCUCCUAGCGGAGGAGGUUUCUACGGGCAAAAUGAAGAAGGUGAAGAAGGCUGUCAGGAGCAUAGGCAAGAAGAGUGACGCCAUUAGAAAGGCGUCUGCGGCUGCUUAA
rnacentral:rRNA from 1 species